UGAAAGGCGAAACGUAAUGUGAAUCGCAACUAACAGUGAAUCAUCGAAUCUUUGAACGCAGGCCGCACCUUGCAAUAUCACUCUGUGUUACUGCAAGGUAUCUACGUAUGAGUGUCAGCCCAAUAUCCUUUUGGUUCAAGAUAAGAUUGUAUAUAAUUCAUAUUUUUGUGAAUAUAUAUUUUAAACUCUUGAAUACAUAUAUAUUAUAUACUUUUUUUUAUAUAUGUCUGGCCUCAUAUGUGGAAGGUUACCCGCUGGAUUUAA
rnacentral:misc_RNA from 1 species